rnacentral:lncRNA from 1 species
ACCUAUGAACAUUCUGUAGGGGCCACUGUCUUCUCCACGGUGCUCCCUUCAUGCGUGACCUGGCAGCUGUAGCUUCUGUGGGACUUCCACUGCUCGGGCGUCAGGCUCAGGUAGCUGCUGGCCGCGUACUUGUUGUUGCUCUGUUUGGAGGGUUUGGUGGUCUCCACUCCCGCCUUGACGGGGCUGCCAUCUGCCUUCCAGGCCACUGUCACAGCUCCCGGGUAGAAGUCACUGAUCAGACACACUAGUGUGGCCUUGUUGGCUUGGAGCUCCUCAGAGGAGGGCGGGAACAGAGUGACAGUGGGGUUGGCCUUGGGCUGACCUGUGACGGUGACCUUGGUCCCAGUUCCGAAGACAUAACACAUGCUGCUGUCCCACACCUGACAGUAAUAGUCAGCCUCAUCCCCGGCUUGGGCUCUGCUGAUGGUCAGGGUGGCCGUGUUCCCCGAGUUGGAGCCAGAGAAUCGCUCAGGGAUCCCAGAGGGCCGGUUGCUAUCCCUAUAGAUGACCAGCACAGGGGCCUGGCCUGGCUUCUGCUGGUACCAGUGCACAUUUUUACUUCCAAUGUUGUUUCCCCCACAGGUAAUCCUGGCCGUCUGUCCCAGGGCCACUGACACUGAGAGUGGCUGAGUCAGCUCAUAGGAGGCCACAGAACCUGC